AGGGCCACGUUGAAGCAUCCGAUUCCCGUACGAUCGCCAAAGUUAAGUAACGUCGGCCCUGAUCAGUAUCUAUAUGAGUGACCACUUGGGAAUACCAGGUGAUGGA